UUUCGUAGGGGAAGGUUUGAGAAGCCUUCCCCAUAGCCGGACUUCCGCUUCCGGUCCUCGGAAUCUGUACGCGGUCGUUAUGGAGGAACCGGAGAUGCAACUCAAGGGAAAGAAAGGAGAUCACUCCAUCUGUUGUUUGGAGAUUGGACUGUUGGCAGAGCGGAAGCAGGGAGACCAGGAAGGAGCUGAAUCUGGCGUCCUGGUGAGAGGUGGCCAUGCCUGGACCAGUGUGGGCAGUGUAGUGGUAAGAAUAGUCACAGACAAGUUCACUGAGAGUGUCUAUGUCCUGGCCAAUGAGCCAUCCGUGGCCCUGUACCGGCUGCAGGAGCACGUGCGCCGCUCUCUGCCUGAGCUGGCCCAGCAUAAGGCUGACAUGCAGCGAUGGGAGGAGCAGAGCCAGGGAGCCAUUUACACAGUGGAGUAUGCCUGCAGUGCUGUGAAGAACCUUGUUGACAGCAGCGUCUACUUCCGCAGCGUGGAGGGUCUUCUGAAACAGGCCAUCAGCAUCCGGGACCACAUGAAUGCUGCCGCCCAGAGCCACAGGUAGCUCCGGGACCACCCGCUCCUGCUCUCAGCCUCCUCGCUGUAAGGACCUUUGCUUCUCAGCCAGGAACUGCUGUUUCUCACUCCUUAGACAGCUCCCUUUCCUCAUCUCAUGGUGCCUGGUGGCUUCCUCUCGUCCUUUGGCGUCUGUAACGGGAGAGUUCAGCCGCCCAGCACCCAGGUCCUGAGCUCUGCUGUGUGCCCGGCCCUGGGCUGGGCACCGGGGAUGCAGCGGUGGCCAAUACGCAUGUACUCGUGGUCUCACAGGGAGGUGUAUGGCAACCAGCCCUGACGAACCACCCCUGCCCUCCUCAGCUUGAUCCCGGAAGAGACUUGGAGGUGCUUUGGCCCCUCUGGCUCAGGCCGCAGGCCCUGUCUCGAUCCCGUGUUCCCCCUGCCAAGACAGAAAGGGGAGCCCGCGUUUGGUUGUUUUCCUCACACGCGUUCUCUCAGGCGGAGCCCAGCAUGAUGGCUACCCACCCAGCUCAGGAAUCUUCGCUGCACUGCUGGCCAGCUGUGUGACCCUGAGAAAGUCCCUCCCCUCUCUGGUCUCUGCUUUUCCCUUCCGUCAGAGUGGUUCAGCAGGCAACAGAGGGUGCUGCUGCAUAGUGAUGUGUGUUGUAGCAAUCAGCUACUGCUGCAUGACAAACUGUCCCCAAACUUAGUGGUUGACAACCCUAGUCAUUUGGCUGCUUACAGUCCUGCGAUUUGGGCUGGGCUCAGUUGGGCAGUUUUUCUGGACUUCACAACUAUCUGGCACUCAUCAGAAUUCAAAGGGGCUCAUAGUCAGAGGUGGCCUCGCUCACACAUCUGGAUCUGGACCCGUGCCGUCAGCAGCAGGGGGUCCGUUCCCCUCCGCGUGGCCUCCCCAGCAGGCCGGCCUAGGCUUCUCCUGGUGACCGGGUGCCCAGAGGGCAGCCCCCGUGUGCCUGUGCCCAUCCGACCUCUUCUUGCUUCACACUGCGGAUGCUCCAUUGGUCAAGGCCAGCCACGUGGCCAGGCCAAGAACCUGAUGGGAGAGGACUGCACGAAGGCCUCAAUACCGGGAGGUGUGAUCGACUGUGUGAGGAGAGCAUGGUACCAAGAAAGGCCUGGCACGUUGUUACUCGGCGCCCAUGUAGGGCAGACCCCGGCAGAUCGGCGGCAUCUGAGGGACUUCCUGAGCUCUGGCUGUUGUAGUUCUCAAAGCCCCGCCCAUUUGCCAGGCACUGCGAUGGCGCUCUGUGCCACAGAGGCCCUCUCAGAGGGCUUGGGAGGCAUGAGUGGGAUGGGGCCUCCACAGCCCCAGAGCCACAGUCUCCAGAGACAAGAGGCAGCAGAAUUCAUGUGUGUGCAGUUGAAGUACUUUUUGAGCACCUGCUGUGUGCCAGGCUUAGCUCUCCGGCUGGGGGUAGUGAGGAAUCCCGCUGGCUGUGGGAUUGCCUAGGGAGCAUCUGGGAGGACUUGGGGCAGGAGGGGCUACCAAGAGGGUCAGCAGCUCACCCCAGUGGCCCACGCAGUGUUGCCCACCAGCCCUGGGCCUACACCCCACCAUCUCUCCACUCCCUUCUCCUUGCCCUCGUCACUCCCACCAUCCAGCCUCAAGGACACCGCCCUGCUGCCCUCCCCACACCCUGUUGUCAUCUGCUGUCCCUCUGCUGCUGCGCCCCCUUGGAAUAAAAUUCUCUGUGGCUUCUCCUGA